rnacentral:rRNA from 1 species
AACGAACGUUGGCGGCGUGGAUUAGGCAUGCAAGUCGAACGCUGCUCGGAGGGGGCAACUCUCUGAGCGGAGUGGCGAACGGGUGAGUAGCGCGUGGGAAACCUGCCCUCGAGUUGGGGACAACCUCUCCAACGAGUGGCUAAUACCGAAUGUGGUCGCCUAGGGGCAUCUCCUGGCGACUAAAGGCGGGGACCCGUAAGGGCCUGCCGCUCGAGGAUGGUCCCGCGUCCCAUUAGCUAGNGGUAGGGUAACGGCCUACCAAGGCUACGAUGGGUUGCUGGUCUGAGAGGACGGACCAGCCACACUGGGACUGAGAUACGGGCCCAGACUCCUUCGGGAGGCAGCAGUCGAGAGGCUUCGGCAAUGGGGAAACCCUGACCGAGCGACGGCCGCGUGGGGACU